GUUGAAACACCAGUUCCUGUACGAUCAUCGAAGUUAAGCAACGUCGAGCCUGAUCAGUACCCUAGAUGGGUGACCGCUUGGGGAAUACCAGGUACAGU